rnacentral:rRNA from 1 species
UGGGGAAUAUUGCGCAAUGGGCGAAAGCCUGACGCAGCGACGCCGCGUGAGGGAUGAAGGUUUUCGGAUCGUAAACCUCUGUCAGAAGGGAAGAAACCGCACUGUGCUAAUCAGCAGUGCCUUGACGGUACCUUCAAAGGAAGCACCGGCUAACUCCGUGCCAGCAGCCGCGGUAAUACGGAGGGUGCAAGCGUUAAUCGGAAUUACUGGGCGUAAAGCGCACGUAGGCUGCUUUGUAAGUCAGGGGUGAAAUCCCACGGCUCAACCGUGGAACUGCCUUUGAUACUGCUUAGCUUGAAUCCGGGAGAGGGUUGCGGAAUUCCAGGUGUAGGAGUGAAAUCCGUAGAUAUCUGGAGGAACAUCAGUGGCGAAGGCGGCCACCUGGACCGGUAUUGACGCUGAGGUGCGAAAGCGUGGGGAGCAAACAGG